AACCACCGUCUUUGAAUAUGGUUUUAAAAAUUUCGCAAAAACACUAAUUUGGUGUAGCGCGCUACUGUGGUCUCAGUGAAGAUUGACCUCGAACCCUAGCUAGUGACCUUGCAUGUGUUCUUCUUCCGUUCAUCGUCUUCGAAGAAUCCCUCGAAGUGAAGCCUUCACCGUUCCGUUCAAUCUCUGCGAAGGAAUGCCAUAAAAGUUCAUUUGUGAAGUCUGCAUGAAAUGUAAGUACUGUGAACGAGUGUUUUCCUUCAAACAUUGAACAAUGCUUGAACGCAUUUAUGUUGGGUGUUUGCCCAAUUUAAGUUAUGUUGGGUGUGCGUAUGUUGGUUGUUUGCCCUAUUUGUCCCACUAUUUGUGUGUGUAUGUUGGGUUUUAUGCUUGAACCCAAUGUAAUUGUCUGGUUUCAUGACUAUACGUAGUUUACUUAUGCUUGUUGUUUGGCCUCAUGUAGGGUAGUUGUUAUUUUUUGCUUUGUGUUAUGGUCUUUGCUUGUAACUUGAAACAAAUGUAUGGACCUUUUCGUUUGGCUGUAUGUUCAAAAUUUUAAUUAA